rnacentral:lncRNA from 1 species
GCUGUAAACAUUAUUUAUAAGGAGAAUGUUAAUGGUUCUUUAAGCAUAAGGUGACAAAUUUUAAACAAAUCAUUUUUUGUAUAAAAUUUCUUCACCGUGUGUUUAAGAUCCAUUUGCAAGUUCUUGUUUAACAAACAAAAUUUUGAGUUUAUUAUGGAAGAUUUAAUUGAAAUUUUGUCUAUUUAUUUUAAUUUUGAUUUUGGUAAGUUAAAUUGUUUUAAAUAAUUUCGGCCCUCACAAUUUUUUUUUUAGAGAAUGUUAACUAGUGUCUCAAAAAUAUUGGUUAAGCAUCCAAAACAAACAAAUUUUCUUGAAAGAAUUGCGUAAUCAUUACUUGAUCAAAAAUAAAAUCUUACAUUUCCAAGACAAUAUUUUUAUUUUU